CAAGCUCUGACUCCAGCUCUAGCUCUACUUCUGACUCUUCAGAUGAGGACAAGAAGAAAAAGGAGCGUAAAAAGAAGAAUCACAAGAAUAGAAGCAAAAAAAGAAAUAAGGAAAACAAAAAGGUCAAGAGGUCAAAGGGAAAAGGAGAGCGAGUUGCCACAAUCAGUGAUGUGGUAAGAAGAUAUCGACGUGUCCUUAAACUUGUGCAGAAAGGUUUCAGGAUGACCAAAGCUUUCAAGAAAGCCGGGGUUUCAAGAAAUGCUGUAAAAGACACAGCAGCAAUUUCAGAAAUUUAUAUAGUAGACAAAAGUGUACUGGAUCAGUUCAAGGGAAAAUACACACUUUUGAAACUAGCACAACAUUGUCAGAAAAAAAUUGUUGGUGAAUUGGCAGAAAAGAUAAAUGAAAUGAAAAACAACAAUCAGCUAAUCCCUUUUACUGUAAAAAAAAACUGAAAAAAAUUAGUGCAACAAUAUGUGAACCAGAUAGUUGUUGACUCUAAAGGUUAAAUCGAGUUGUUUUUCAUUUGUUAAUUUUUUUUAUCUUGAGCAAUAACAUGUUGAUGUAUAGUUGGUCAAGUUACAGUUGUUUUCUCCUACACCACACACAUCUCCGAUACGACAGUUUAGACUUUUAGAUUGAUUAUUUUAGUUAAUUGAACUGUUAAAAAACAGUUCUGUGCUACAAGUGCAUGUUUUUUUUUUUUUUU